CCAUACCACACACAUCGCUGGCCCCCAAAUCCCAAUCCACCCGUGCCCUACACCAGAGCGCCGCCGCCCCCAACCAUCUGACCUUCCGCCGCCGGCCGUCCUCUAGCCAUCGCCAUCCCCAAAUCACCAUAUCGCCGAUGCCCCCGACCAUCUGAUCCCUCCGCUAUCACCCCUAGCACCGCAGCCCCUCCCGCCGCCCCAACCAGCCCCACCACCACCGUCACCCCCCACCACCGCAGCCCAUCCACCGCCCCAACCAAUGCACUACUGCGGCCUCCACCCAGACCACUGACACCGUCGCCCCCCAUCAUCGCAGCUCCUCUGCCGCACCAAGCACCCACUGUUGCUUCCUCCACCCAGACCACUGCUGCCGUCGCCCCCAACCACAACAGAGCGGCACCGCCGAGCACCAAUUGACACGGAGCAUCACAUCGCCGAGCCACUCCACCGGUGACCAUCCUCCUCCGAUGUACGCCGUCGUUUAUCAGCUACCACCCUCCUCGCGAGCUUCCUCCCCCAAGCUGGCCCUCCGCACAAGCUCACCCGAGCACCAAGGAGCUCCUCCGUUUGAUGUUAGAUUAGACUAUGUGAUAGCAUUAGCAUGUUACCUCCUUGCCCCAACCAGCGUUGCCUUGCCUCUACUUCCUUGCCUGAGUAGUGUCGUGUACGUCCUCUACAUCAUCGCCAGAGCAGCACCACAUCCUCUGCUUCUUAAUCAUCGUUGGAAGUCAGUUAAUGGCAAAUGCAGCAAUGGGUUGCGACCACAAGCAAGCUGAGGAGGUUUCCCAAAGGUGCACAAGUUCACUAAGAUUUGGAAGAUCUUUAAGCUGCUAAAGAUUUGGAAGACCUAAAAUUAAGUUGGUGGAGUGAUAAUGACCUGUGUCUUGUUUGUCGAACUUGAGACUUGCUCUGCUCAUUUUGGUGGUUGUUAAUUAGCUCAUUUAGGUUGUGUGGCACACAUCUAGAAACAUAUGUACAUCUCUAGUGGCACUACUUUAUUUUUGUUGUGUGGCAAACAUAUAUAUGUACUUCUUUUGUGGCACAACCUCUUUAUAUAUGGUCGUUAUGAUUAUCGAAUGAAGUUUAAGGUUUUCGAUGAGGCCUAUAUGUUACUUUGAA